AAUAUUACAUGAUAUAUAAAGUGUAUGAUAUAUAAAAAAAACGAAUAUAAAAAAAUAAUUUUCAAUUAUUAAGUUAAUUUAUGAAAAAUUUAAUACUAUUGCUAUUUUUUAUAGUAUAAAAUUAUAAUAUAUAAUAUAUUUAAAAAAAGAAAUAAUAAUAAUAAUUUAAAUAAUUAUACAAAAUAAACAAGAAAUAAAAAAUAUUUAAAUUUGAAUGAUUAGAAAGAAUAUAAUUAUUAAAUAUUCUUGUUUUACAUAAAAUGUAACAGCGUAUCUACUGCGAAGAUUCUGUUGCAAAAACAGUUUGCAUUAUAAAUAUUAUGAUUCAUUAUCCAUGUACAUUUUCUUGGAAAAAAAAAAUUAUUGUCAUUAUUAAAUAUUUUUCUCAACAAAUUUCGAUUCGAAUAAAUCGCAUAAUAUUAUAAUAAAAAUAAAAAGUUAAAUAAUUAAAAUUUUUUAUCGAAAUAUUUCGCGGUUCAAAUGUGCCACUUAAACAUAACGAAUAUCAGCUAUUGUGGUCGCCAGUAUGCUUGCAAAGCAAGUCAGGGUUUAGAUUACCGUUUCCUAUAAACUUUGCAGCGUUUUGUAACUGAGACACUUCGUGACACAUAGAGAAAUAUUGAAACGUUAGUUCAGCGGUUAUGCUGCGGAUUCGUGGAUAAAACAAUAGAAACCAAGACACAGAGAUUGAAAAUCUAUUUUAUAUAGUAUAUAGUUAUAAAUAGUAUAAAUUAGUUACUUACGAACUUUUGUAAAUAGAAUAAAAUUUAAAAAUAAAUUAUUAAUUAUAAAUAAAUUUAAAUUAUAUCGAUCUAUUUGUAUAUAUUUAUGAAAUAUUUAAUCUAAAUUUAUUAUUUAACCGUUUUCAUUUUUGUAUUUUAAUUUUGUAUCAUAUAAUAAUUAAUUGAAUUUAGAAAUAAGCAUUUUCUCAAUUUAUACGUAUCUUCACUCGUAUGUUACGAAAAAGAAUAACCAAAGAAAUUUUUCUACAAGAUAUUUUUCUAUAAAAAGUUUAUUCGACAUUCGACAAAAUUCUAUCGGUUUCUGCAGCAUAAUCAGAAUCGAAAUAAAUCUGUUGUACGAGAAAACAUUGAAUAAUUCAUUUGGAGUUUAUCCUUGGUUGCAGUGUCUAUGACGUUAUGUCACGUGAAAAUAUAUAUUGCGCCGGGCGGACAUACCAAUACGAGAAUCGUCAUUACAUAAGUAUAAAUGUUUUAUUGUCUGCUUUACGAAUUUCGAAUAAAACGUGUCACGUGUCCAUUGUUGAAUCAAACUUUCACUCAUGGCAAUUAGCGGGAGCGAACGGAAAUUCGGCGACGUGGAUCGCACGCAUCAGCAACUCAACUGGCGUCGAGACCGAAGGAAAGAUAUAACGUGACCAGAUGGAAUAAUAUGCGAUUCAAUUGAACACGAAGCGCAGCUAUCGGAAAGAAUGGAGAAUUUUCGGUUAAACGUAUUUCAUCAUUGUUCCAUCAAUUUAUUAAUAAUUCGAAAAUAAUUUGGCUUAAAAAAAUUGUAUGUUCCAUUAAUUAUAAAAUUAAAUAUUUUUAAUUAUUUCUUAAUUAUAUUAAUUAUAAGUUUUAUAAUUUAUGAUAUAGUGGAAUUUCUAUUCGAUAUUUUUUUGGCAAGAAAAUAUUUCUACUACGAUAGUUUCUCAAUAAAGAUUUAUUUUCAAACUUU